rfam:Arthrobacter agilis strain 4042 Contig30, whole genome shotgun sequence.
CCCGGCCCCUCAUGUGGUGUCAUCCUGUGAACUCCCCCAGGACCGGAAGGUAGCAAGGGUAAGCGGGCUCUGGCAGGUGCAUGGGGGGUCUUCACU